rnacentral:lncRNA from 1 species
GUCCGUUUGGUUGUGCGGGAUGUAUCAAGUUCGCAGUCACGUCCGGUCAGAUUGGGGACGUUAAAUCCGAUGCCUCGUGUAAAGAGAGUGCCAUGCUCUUUGCACGUUAAGAACCCUUGCAACAACUCUUUGAGGGGUCCGUAGGUGGCCUGUUGCAAGGCAAAAUUUCUGUCCCUAUCCAAUAUACCCUCAUUUUCCAGUGGCAGUCCAAAUAUCCCCAACCAUCAUCCCAGAUGGCCUCUAUUGUGACAAGACCUACCUAUUGUAUUUAUUGUGAACUUGUUCUCGUCCUGAAUAUGCAUGAAAUAUUUGCCACUGGACGUUAAGCAACCAACAAUCAAUCAAUCAAUCAACCUAUAUUUUGACCUUGGAAAAAAAUGGUGGUGCAUAUGAACUUUCAAUUGUAGGAUAAGAUUUUUUUCAAAACUUCAUAGUCAAAAUGGUACAGUUUUAGCCGUAAAAGGAGUUCCUAUGGGAAAUUGCAUUGUCA